rnacentral:ncRNA from 1 species
AAUCGGUGUGUACUUCAUGGAAGCCUGACCCCCGGAUGGGCAGGCUGAAAAAGCGAAACCGGUGACGCUUACGAGCCAGUCCGGUGCUGUUGCGCAACUGUAGGUCAGUGAUUCUGACAAGCCAGGUCGCCGUCCAUGAAUUGUUCACCGCA